rnacentral:rRNA from 1 species
AUAAUUAAGAGUUUGAUCCUGGCUCAGGAUGAACGCUGGCGGCGUGCCUAACACAUGCAAGUCGAGCGAGAAUUGUUGGAACGGAGACUUCGGUCGAAGAGAAGACAAGGAAAGCGGCGGACGGGUGAGUAACGCGUGGGUAACCUGCCCCAUACAAAGGGAUAGCCACUGGAAACGGUGAUUAAUACCCUAUAAGACUACAGGAUCGCAUGAUUCA